rnacentral:rRNA from 1 species
UACGGGAGGCAGCAGUGGGGAAUAUUGCACAAUGGGCGAAAGCCUGAUGCAGCUAUGCCGCGUGUAUGAAGAAGGCCUUAGGGUUGUAAAGUACUUUCAUCGGGGAGGAAAAAAACAAAAACUAAUAAUUUUAUUUCUUGACGUUACCCGAAAAAGAAAGCACCGGCUAACUCCGUGCCAGCAGCCGCGGUAAUACGGAGGGUGCUAGCGUUAAUCAGAAUUACUGGGCGUAAAGAGCACGUAGGUGGUUUUUUUAAGUUCAGAUGUGAGAUCCCUGGGCUUAACCUAGGAACUGCAUUUUGAAACUGAAAUACUAGAGUAUCGUAGAGGGAGGUAGAAUUCUAGGUGUAGCGGUGAAAUGCGUAGAUAUCUGGAGGAAUACCUGUGGCGAAAGCGGCCUCCUAAACGAAUACUGACACUGAGGUGCGAAAGCGUGGGGAGCAAACAGGGAUUAGAUACC